rnacentral:rRNA from 1 species
AUUGAACGCUGGCGGCAUGCCUUACACAUGCAAGUCGAACGGCAGCACGGGUGCUUGCACCUGGUGGCGAGUGGCGAACGGGUGAGUAAUACAUCGGAACGUACCUUAUUGUGGGGGAUAACGCAGCGAAAGCUGUGCUAAUACCGCAUACGCCCUGAGGGGGAAAGCGGGGGAUCGAAAGACCUCGCGCGAUUAGAGCGGCCGAUGCCUGAUUAGCUUGUUGGUGGGGUAAAAGCCCACCAAGGCGACGAUCAGUAGCUGGUCUGCGAGGACGAUCAGCCACACUGGGACUGAGACGCGGCCCAGACUCCUACGGGAGGCAGCGGUGGGGAAUUUUGGACAAUGGGGGCAACCCUGAUCCAGCAAUGCCGCGUGAGUGAAGAAGGCCUUCGGGUUGUAAAGCUCUUUUGUCAGGGAAGAAACACCGGCUCUAACACAGUCCGGGAAUGACGGUACCUGAAGAAUAAGCACCGGCUAACUACGUGCCAGCAGCCGCAGUAA